UACGUAGGAGGCGAGCGUUGUCCGGAAUUACUGGGCGUAAAGAGCGCGUAGGCGGCACUGUACGACCGCUGUGAAAGCCCCCGGCUCAACUGGGGAGGGUCAGUGGUAACGGCAGAGCUUUCGAGUCUAGGAGAGGGAAGUGGAACUCCGGGAGUAGCGGUGAAAUGCGUAGAUACCCGGAGGAACACCAGUGGCGAAGGCGGCUUCCUGGUCUAGAACUGACGCUGUGGCGCGAAAGCUAGGGG
rnacentral:rRNA from 1 species